rnacentral:rRNA from 1 species
CAGUCGCCGCGGGAAUACGAAGGGGGCUAGCGUUGUUCGGAAUCACUGGGCGUAAAGCGUCUGUAGGUGGCUUCUCAAGUCCGCCGUCAAAUCCCCGGGCUCAACCCUGGACAGGCAGUGGAAACUACCAAGCUGGAGUACGAUAGGGGCAGAGGGAAUUUCCGGUGGAGCGGUGAAGUGCGUUGAGAUCGGAAAGAGCACCAACGGCGAAAGCACUCUGCUGGGCCGACACUGACACUGAGAGACGAAAGCUAGGGGAGCAAAUGGGAUUAGAUACCCCCGUAGUCCCUGUCUCUUAUAC